CCAUCGCUAAAGUGGACACCACAGAAGAGAUUGUUGAUUACAGCUAACCAAAGGCUCGAAGAUAACAAACUAGAGGUCAAAUGUGGGAGAGUGCUAAUGUGGUGGAGAGGGUGAGAGAGAGAUGCUUUUCAUUUUAUUUCUCAGGCAUGAGGAAGUGUGCAACAGAUAACAAUUCAAGCAGUGAAGAAACUGUAAAGGCUAAAAUAAUCAUACAUUACUGAGCACCCAAGGAGAAACUGACAAGCAGGCACCCUUUGCAUUGCCCUCUUAGUGCCUGUCAAAGAUGCUUCUCUUUUAUAACAAGCCUUCCAAGUGUAAAUCUUUGGUGUCAUUUAGUAUCAGUAUCAGAACUGAAUUGAUUUUAUAUAUGCCUUGUUGUUUUAAGAGUGGUUGGGGCAACCCAGCCUGAUGGAGAAUGAGGAAGAUGCCCCAACCCUUCCCUCAGCGACCAUUUCUCUACUUCAAUUUCCCUCCCUGUGGCUUUUCUUCACACAGAGUUCAAAACAUGGAUAAACACAAAACUGUGCCCUCAAGCAAUCAAGCAAAUGUUUGUAGCAGUGCCUCACUCUUGAUACUGCUGGGAAAUGCUGAUGCAGUUUGUACCAAAACCUGGUUGGAACACUAUUUAUUUAGUGCUCCAUAACAGUUUUUAACUACAGAAAAAUGAAUUUAUUGCUUAAGAGAAACUUCCUUCCCUGCAACAUUCUGCAUUAUUUUUGGUCGCUGCAUGUGCGUGGAAUAGCGGAUCUGCUGUUUCAAGUUUCAAUUCUCAUAAAUUCUGCACAUUCCCUUCCAUAUCCUAUAACUGGUUGCCCAUGAGCAGAAAGCACUAUUUUGUAGAUAGCACCAGUAUGCCAAAUACUAAUCCCAUGGAGCUGAAUGUGCCAAAUAUGGCUGUGGAUUUGACAGUCUGAAGAUGGCCUACUCAGAAAAUCACCAUCUUAUUUAUUUGUAAGUGGAAAUAUUUGUCACACACGUGUAGCUAAACUAAGAUGUCUCAUAAAGAAAUAUAAAAAGAGAUUUGAAUGA